CUUAAAACUUGUACUAGACAAUAUUUCCUUUAUUAUAAAAAGUGGUGAAAAAGUUGGGGUUGUGGGCCGUACAGGCGCUGGAAAAUCAAGUUUAACUUUAUCUCUUUUCCGUAUUAUUGAACCUUUUUCCGGCUGUAUCGAAAUUGAUGGCGUGAAUAUCCAAAAUGUUUCUUUAUUUACUCUUCGCUCCAGCCUUUCAAUAAUUCCGCAGGAUCCAGUAAUAUUUUUCGGUACAGUUCGUUCGAACCUUGAUCCCUUCUCAUUGUACACCGAUUCUCAAAUUUGGGCUGCAUUAGAGUAUUGUCAUUUGAAAAACUUUGUGAAAGGUUUAGACAAACAACUCGAUCAUGAAAUUUUAGAAGGAGGCAGUAAUUUUAGUGUUGGCCAACGGCAACUCAUUUGUUUAGGGCGCGCUCUUUUAAGAAAAACAAAAAUAUUAAUACUUGACGAGGCAACAGCAGCAGUCGAUCUAGAUACAGACAAGCUAAUUCAAGAAACUAUUCGUUCUGAAUUUCGCAGCUGCACUAUUUUAACUAUUGCUCACCGCAUUAAUACCAUACUCGAUAAUGACAAAGUUCUCGUAUUAGAAAAUGGACGAGUAAAAGAGUUUGAUUCGCCAUCUGUACUUUUGAAUGAACCUAGUAGUCUCUUCUAUGGUUUGGCCAAGGAAUCCAAUCUGGUUUCUUAGCACACCUCUGCUUGCCAAUCAGCAAGAAAUAUCGUUAUUUAUAAGUAA